rnacentral:RNase_P_RNA from 1 species
CCAGCUAGACAACCGCUUCGCCUUACGGGGGCGAAGAGGAAAGUCCGGGCACCUUGGGGCAUGAUGCUGGGUAACACCCAGGUGCAGAGAUGCAACAGAAAGUGCAACAGAAAACAUACCGCCUGCCCGCAUAGGGCAGGUAAGGGUGAAAAGGCGAGGUAAGAGCUCACCGCGUCACUGGCGACAGGGACGGCAGUGUAAACCUCAUCAGGUGCAAGGCCAAGCAGCAGGGUGUCCCGCCCCGGACCAGUCCCCUGCGGGUAGGCCGCUCGAGCCAGGGAGAGAUCCCUGGCCUAGAUAGAUGGUUGUCGUUAUACAGAACCCGGCUUAUUGCU